rnacentral:rRNA from 1 species
AACGAACGCUGGCGGCAGGCUUAACACAUGCAAGUCGAGCGCCCCGCAAGGGGAGCGGCAGACGGGUGAGUAACGCGUGGGAAUCUACCGUGCCCUGCGGAAUAGCUCCGGGAAACUGGAAUUAAUACCGCAUACGCCCUACGGGGGAAAGAUUUAUCGGGGUAUGAUGAGCCCGCGUUGGAUUAGCUAGUUGGUGGGGUAAAGGCCUACCAAGGCGACGAUCCAUAGCUGGUCUGGGAGGAUGAUCAGCCACAUUGGGACUGAGACACGGCCCAAACUCCUACGGGAGGCAGCAGUGGGGAAUAUUGGACAAUGGGCGCAAGCCUGAUCCAGCCAUGCCGCGUGAGUGAUGAAGGCCCUAGGGUUGUAAAGCUCUUUCAACGGUGAAGAUAAUGACGGUAACCGUAGAAGAAGCCCCGGCUAACUUCGUGCCAGCCGCCGCCGUAAUAC